AUUGAACGCUGGCGGCAGGCCUAACACAUGCAAGUCGAACGGUAACAGGAAGAAGCUUGCUUCUUUGCUGACGAGUGGCGGACGGGUGAGUAAUGUCUGGGAAACUGCCUGAUGGAUGGGGAUAACUACUGGAAACGGUAGCGAAUACCGCAUAACGUCGCAAUACCAAAGAAGGAGACCUUCGGGCCUCUUGCCAUCAGAUGUGCCCAGUUGGGAUUAGCUAGUAGGUGUGGUUACGGCUCAACUUGGCGACGAACCCUAGCUGGUAUGAGUGGGUGAACAGCCACACUGGAACUGAGACACGGUCCCGACUCCUACGGGAGGAAACAGUGGGGAAUAUUGCACAAUGGGCGAAAGCCUGAUGCAGCCAUGCCGCGUGGAUGAAGAAGGCCUUCGGGUUGUAAAAUACUUUCAGCGGGGAGGAAGGGAGUAAAGUUAAUACCUUUGCUCAUUGACGUUACCCGAAGAGGAAGCACCGGCUAACUACGUG
rnacentral:rRNA from 1 species